GCUGGGUGUGCUGGCGCAUGCCUGUAAUCCCAGCUACUCGGGAGGCUGAGGUAGGAGAAUCGCUUGAGCCCAGGAAGUGGAGGUUGCAGUGAGCCAAGAUUACGCCACUGCACUCCAUCCUGGGAAACAGAGCAAGACUCCAUCUCAA
ensembl:misc_RNA Metazoa_SRP Metazoan signal recognition particle RNA